CAAAUGGAUUCUCUAGAAUCCACCCUUGAAAUGAUCAGUAAAAAG
rfam:Dipodomys ordii contig_28590, whole genome shotgun sequence.